rnacentral:snoRNA from 1 species
CUGCAAACAGCCUCGCUCUUCUGGUCCACUAGAAAUCGGGACAGGCUGAACACUGACUAUGUUAAGGUCAUGGAUGUAUCCCCAGACCUAGUUGUUUCCCUAGGUGCGAUAUUAUAAAUUCUGGUGAUAAGC